ACCCAUCCCGAACACGGAAGAUAAGCCCGCCAGCGUUCCGGCGAGUACUGGAGUACGCGAGUCUCUGGGAAAUCUGGUUCGCCGCCUGCC
rnacentral:rRNA from 1 species